ACGAAACACUUACCACCAACAACCAGAAACCACUCAGUACUCAAAUCUUUGAAGGAACAAUAGUCACUUCUUGUCUUUCCCCUAAUUGAGAAAUAUGAACACUGUUAAUGGCGUUAAACAUAAUCAAAUUUCCCCACAAUGCAAAAUGGGAAAGAAAACCAUUUGAUAGCUUACCUAUUCUAAACGAAUCGAAGAACCCCAAAAGUAGAACAACGACAACAUGUACGACGACUAGAAUUGAAGAAGAACAGAAGAGACAAAAAAAAGAGAAAGAAGAACAAGAACAAUAAAAACGUCAGAGGAAAAAAAGAAAAUGAAUUUUUGGAAAAUAAAAGAAUUAAAAUUAAAUUUAAGUCUACCAAAAUCCUAACUCCCGAAAACCCCACUAACUACCAAUCCUACUAAAUUUGACCACUAAGCUCAUGAAACUAACUCAGAAUUCCAACUCCACCAAAAC
rnacentral:lncRNA from 1 species